AACGCACAUUGCGCCCGCUAGUAUUCUGGCGGGCAUGCCUGUUCGAGCGUCAUUUCAACCAUCAAGCCCCAGGCUUGUGUUGGAGCCCUGCGGCUGCCCGCAGCCUCCUAAAACCAGUGGCGGGCUCGCUAUCACACCGAGUGCAGUAGUUCUCUCUUCGCUCUGGACGUGUAGCGGGUUCCGGCCGUGAAACCCCCAAAUUUUCAAGGUUGACCUCGGAUCAGGUAGGAAUACCCGCUGAACUUAA
rnacentral:misc_RNA from 1 species